GUCCUCUCCUUAGCAGCGCAUACGCGAAAACUGGGAAGAUAGAGAAAAGAUUAGUCUGGCUUCUGUGCAAGGAUAACACACAAGUUCAUAAAGUGUUCUGUGUUUUU
ensembl:snRNA U6 U6 spliceosomal RNA